rnacentral:lncRNA from 1 species
CGGGUCGUUCAGGCGAGGGUCUUGACCUUUCUGGGGAAGGAGCUGGUUGCUCAGGAGGAGUAGGUUCAGGUUCAGCGUACACGAUCUCGGGAGAUGGAGAUUUAUUUGGACUGGGUACUUGGACAGAAGCGGCAGAUGCAGAGCUUGGAUGGCUGUCAGGUGUUCUUUUCUCUUCUUGGACAGAGUUUGGAUAACAUCAUCCUGAUCACCCUCUUCGGCAAUCUGUAUCUCUACAGGGGGCACGAAAGGAGGAACGAUCGAAGAUUGGGGCACCCUAAGCUCUUCGGCGGUCAGAGGUGUUAUUUUGCUUUUCAAUUUUUUGGUUCGAAGGAUGC